rnacentral:lncRNA from 1 species
UUUUAUUGAAAAUUUCUAGAAUGAAAUUUGCACAAGUGACUUUAUUACAAAAUACCAAUUUUAGCCAUUAGAGGCCGAAUCCACAUCCAGUUUCCCAAAAUUUACCACUGAUACUAGAUAAUUUAUUUCCCCUAAAGGAACCUAAUAGGAGUAUGUCCACAUCAGUUUAGUUCUUCUCCCCUUCACUGUCCAAGUUAACAUUGUUUCCUGAAUUCUCAGUCAUGGUUUACAUCACCAGAUACCCAGUUUCCAUCAUCAGGAUUCUUGGAUUUGCCCUGAAACUUGUCUUCUCUUUUACUAUCCUCCCCACCAAUGCAACUAAUCAAUAAUCAAUAAUUAAAAAGCAAAUAAUCAGUCAUUAAAUCCUGUUGGUUGUACCACAGCACUGUCUCCUGAAUUUAGACACACCUUGCUUAAGCACUGUAAUUUCCCUAAGCCAGGUCCUCAUGGUCUCUUUCACUCUUACAGUAGUUUGCCCUCUCCUUCCUACUUCCUCCUUUAGUCCAUCAAAUCAGUCUAGAAAAUGUUGUCUCCAGAUCUAUUUUUCUAAAAAUAGCAACCCUUUAAGCCUACAGGCUUACUACACACAUUAUAUUAGGCAUACAAACUCAAUGAUCACAUUUCCCCCACUGCCAGUGAAGCCUGCUCCUCCUCCCUAUGCCUGCUGUGUUCCCAACUGCUAUGGUCUGAAUGUUGGUGUUUCCCCACAUUUGUAUACUGGAACCCAAUACCCAAUGGGAUAGUAUUAGGAGGUGGGGCCUUUGAGAAGUUAAUAAUUUAUGAGGGUCCCACCCUCAUGAAUGGGAUUUAGUGCCCUUAUAAAAGAGGCUUGAGAGAGCUCCCUUUCCUCCCUUGCCAUGUGAGAACACACAGAGGCAUCGUCCUUGAAGAAGGCCCUCACUAGGCUGAAUUGGGGCACCUUGAUCUUAGACUUUCCAGCCUCUAGAACUCAUCUUUUUCAAGAAACUACCACUGAGGAAGGAAUCCCACAGAAAAUGGGGUUUUCUUGUGAAUUGGCUCCUGAUGUGCUUUACUACUCCUUCAUGUAAAAGACAUAACCAAGUGUAAAGAAUCCUGCCAUCUCCCUCACAAUAAUCAACUCUAAUUCUCAAAAGCUGAUAAAGAAAGGAGCAUCCUCCUAGCAUGAAGCACAUGGAAUCACAAAGAUUUCUUGAAGAUAACGUGAAGCUCAUGGGACUGGAAUCUGUUUAAAUUAUCCAAUUCUUUCCAAACAAGAAAGUUCAUGGGACUCUUCCACAAUCAGUAAGAAAGUUUUGAAUUGACUAUUGUAUUGGCUCAUUUUAAUAUGUAAUGUAAUUGCUGACUUUUUUUAAUUCUGGUUGUUCAUUUUACUUGUCCCUAAUCUUUUAAAUAUCUAGUUCUAGUUCUUGAGAAUGGCUAGGAUCUCAUACAUGGUGGUAUAAUUAUACAUACUUUUAAUUUUUUAAAGUUUAAUUUGCCCUUUAAAGAUAAUUAUUCUUGCUUCUAAUAUAAUCUCAUUCUCAAUCAAAUUUAGAAGCCAAAGUAAUAUGCCAAUAUCAUUUGGACUGCGAUCUAAACUUGCAUUCAAGUGUACUGCAGAGAGAAAAGCCAAGGCUCUCAGGAGUAAAUAUUGAUUCUUUGGAGGACACCCAAGACACCAAAAUAAAGUUCUGAGAAGAAUUAUACAAACUAAAUAUGCAGGAGACAGGAUAGUUACUCUGAUCAAAUAAGAAUUUGAAUGAGUGCCGUUGAUUGGAACCUCAAAGGACAUACCCCACCACUGUGGGAAAGUUUCACCUCCCUAGAGCAGAGGUCACAGGUUCCUCCUUAACUUGGGCCUCAGUGCCCACUGCCUGGAACUGCUAUUUAUUUUUUCUACACAUACUGCUUUUCCCUGGCUAGGUUAGAUGCCCCUCAUGGACAGGCUGUUUCUGUAACUCCAAUUUCUAGCCUGCACAAUGCCUUAGAUGUCAUUGAAAAGCAAUACAGCUCUGUUGUGAAAAUUUAUGCAGAUGAAAUGAAUCGUAGCUCCUGCAACUUAUGUUGACUCGCUUAGAAAAAAAAGUAGAAUGAUGACUUCAGAAUUAUAAGAGAAUAGAAGAUGUUACAUUUCUAAAAUGCUUUUUAUGUAUUUGAUCUAAAAAUAUUCAAACUUAAAUGAGAAGUAAAACUUAUUUGCACUACAAGCAACAUAACAAACAUCAUAUUCUGAGGAAAGGUAAUUUCAUCCAUCAACCCAUAGCUUCUCACAAAAGAACUCAGACAUCCUGCUUUCUGUCACAAAUAUUAAUACUUUUAUAAAAAGGAAACAGAUUAAUAAUAUAACAAAUCUGUGCAGAAUGUGUUUCAUUAAUUUUCCAGGAAGGCAGCAUUGCAGAAUUACUUGAGAGUCAAGUUUAACCUUAUUUUCUACUAUGUACUUACUGUUGUUCCAAAACAUGAUCAAUUUAUUUUCUGCAAGACACUGAGCAUUGCUGCUAAAACAAGAUUGAUUCCGAAUCUCUCCAAAGUAACUGCUUCUUUUAUUUUUAUUUUUUAUCAAUGUUAAUGAAACCACAGUGUCUUGGCAAAAUUCAAUUUAAGAUCCUUUUUCCACCUGGAAUGUUUUGGGCACUUAAAAACCUUAGACAUUUCUGGAACAUGAGUUAGAAGAAUAUUUUUUUCUACAGUAUUGUUUUAAAAUAAUAUUCUAAAAAGAUGUUAUUUAAAUGAUAUUCUAAAAGGAUUAUUUUUUAAGGGGAGAGAAGAAUUACUCUAUUUUCAUACAAAUCCUCCACAGGGAAAUAGACAAUAAUGACUGUUCUCGAGGAAUUUUUGCGGUUAUUUUUGCUCACAAACAAUCUAAAGUGGAACAUGCUAUUAGAAUACUUUCAGUACUGUGUGGUAAAACUAGUAUUUACUGAAAAACUAAAAUGAAAGGUUUAUUUUACUAGUCAGGCUUACAAAAUAAAACAUCCUUAGAAAAUGCAUUUCAAAAUAAAUCUCAUGAAAUGGAUAUUUUGCCUUUGCACAAUGAUCUUUUAAUUUUAGUAAAUAUUUAACUUGCCACAGAAUAGUAGCAAAAUAUACUGUCAUCACCAUUCGUUCAGGUUUCUAUCAAUUUAUUAAGCACCUACUUUACGCUAGGGAAUAUAAUAGAUUCUAUCUAUUCUAUAAUUAUGUCUACUUUUACAAGUUACUAUACAACUAUUCUUUUCCAGCUAAAGCAAAUAUUUCUCUAAUCCCAAAUCAUGUGAAUGGUACUUUUAAAAAAAUUCUUGAAGAUUAAAAAGUUUGUGCUGUUUUGGAUGAUUCCUUUGGGCACAGUAUAUUUGCUUAGUAUUCAUACGUAUUUAAAACUUUUUAAAUAUCCAUGAUACUACACAUUAUGGAUGUAGCUUUAUUGUUAUGGUUAUUAAAUGAGCAUUAUUUAACAAAAUAUUAAUAGGAUCAGUAUUCUGAGGGAUUGCUUAUAUUUACAUAAUUUGUUUCUGAACAUAUCUCCAUUCGGUUACUGAAAAUUUAGCAUCAGAUAGAUGUUUUAAAUAUAAACCGGUGAUGAGCUAAUCUUUUCAAGAGUCAUAUGACAUUAAUGUAUUCCAGGAUUUAGUUUUAGAAGAAUAUUAAAACUUAGGCUUCUGCUCUCAUUAAUACCUCUAGUAAGAAUUCAUUUUUCUUUUGUCCUAGUUCCAUUAUCUUUAGUUUGAGCAGUGCUAAAAUCUUCCUCUUACAGUGUAUGUCUAUAUAUAUGAUUGUGUGUGUGUCGUGCAUGUGUAUGACUGUGUAUUGAGCAGUAUAUAGUAAUUGAGAGUAUGGGUAUGAAAUACAACAGAUAUGUGUUUUGAUUCAUCAUUUCCAGACUUUGAGGUUAACCAAUUUAUUUAUUUAUUAUUAUUAUUAUUUUGGAGAUGGAGUUUCACUCUUGUCACCCAGGCUGGAGUGCAAUGGUGUGGAUCUUGGCUCACUGCAACAUUUGCCUCCCAAGUUCGAGCGAUUCUCUUGCUUCAGCCUCCCGAGUAGCUGGGAUUACAGGCGCCCACCACCACGCCCAGCUAAUUUUUGUAUUUUUAGUAGAGACAAUGUUUCGCCAUGUUGGCCAGGCUGGUCUUGAACUCCUGACCUCAGGUGAUCCACCUGCCUCGGCCUCCCAAAAUGCUGGGAUUAUAGGCGUGAGCCACAGCUAAAUUAUUCAAGUUCGUUAGCCUUAUUUUUGUCAACUGUAAAAUGGGAUGGUAUAAGCUAUUGUGUUGUAAUAUGUUAGAUCCAUGUCACAUAACUUCAAUAAACAGGAGCUAUUUAUUUUAUGUUAACAAAUGUUCUCCUCAUACUUAUUGUUGAUUUUUGAUGAAAUAUUUUAUUUAAUCACAGUAAAUGUCUAAUAAGUAUUUCUUAAGCUGAAUGCCUUGGAUCACAUUUCUAGGUGAAAAAAGAAUCAUUAGCAACUGAAAGCCUUAAUUACUCAAUCACUGAUGGCUGUACAACAUAUCUGCUAUCAAAAUGCCACAUUUUCUGUAAUAUAUUUAAAUCCAUAAUUGUUUCAUAAAUCUUCCUGUAGAAAACAUUUAAAAAGUUACAUAAUCUCAGCAUCUAGAUUUUAUUUUUCAUUGAUAAUUAAUACAAGAAUGAAAAUAUCUCUGUUGCAAAAGAGAUCAGUUCUGUAACAACCCAGAUUAGCAAAAAAUAUAAACAUAAGUUUCAUGUCUUGUUUCAAAAAAUGUACAAAGAUAUGCAAUUCACUCAAUGUUUAUGCCUUUAAAAUUAACGUCUAAAGCAAUCUGACUUUGCAAAUUAAGUGGGAAGAGUUUUUGAAACAAUAUGCUUAUUUUAACCAAAGUCUAAUAUACUGAAAAAGGUGAUUAGUUGCCAUUGAAAACAGUAGUCCAGGCAACAGGAUUUAGUGGCAUCUGUGUAAAACAAUUCAGUGACUAUAUUCCAGUGUUCUCAUUAGUUCACUUCUAAAAAAAUACAUUUUAUUAGCUAAAAACUGCUUAUUGAUCUCAAAAAUAGUAUUUUAAACAGUGGUCAUAGGUGCUUUGGUAGCCCACAGAAAGGAUAUAGCAAAACUAUAGAACUUAGAGGCAAAUUUGGAGAAAAUAAUUUGCUAACGUUAACAACAUAUAAUGGGCAUGCAAUUCAUGCAGACCUAUAUUUCCCAACUAGGCAUUCGGGCUGUGCAUAAAAUUAUUUAGAUAAAGAUAUUAUGUAACAGUAAGUAUUUUGUUAAAGUGUAAAGGCAUAACCUUAAAGUCAUGGUUAGCACCCUUUAAAGAGAAAAAAGACCUGUCAUAUUCCAGACCAUCACUGAGAACUACAACUGCAUUAUAUAAGAAAUCAAGAAAAAGAUAUAUAAACCAAAAUAGGUCCACUAUUUCAAUAUGUGGUUAAGGUCACUUUCAUUAUGUUCUCUAGAUGCUUGUGUGCUGGUUUAUGACUACCUGGAAGAGAAAAUGUUUCUUCCUAGGCUUAUUUGUGUCUGAAUUAUCCAUAUCUUUUCUGGUUGGCAAUCCAUAUCAUAGGCACAGUAGCAUAUCAGGGUGGAAAUAAAGCACGAGUGUUUCUAGCCUUGGUCCUUAAAUGCUAUUUUGUUACAACACAUGCUUUUAUUCCCUAAUUCUGGGAUACUGGAGUUUCCUAUUUUCUCCUGUGGCUCAAGACUUUUUCUUCUAUCUUCAUUUAUAUUUUUAUAUUUUACUGUUAUCUUUACACCAUUGCACAAUAACCAAAAUCCUGAUUUAUCUUUCACAAUUUAAGCAGUACAUUUUAUAUAUAGUAUAGGUUUUAUUUCAUUUUGUUUUUUCUUUUUGGUUUUUGGUUUUGGUUUUCUUUUAUUUUUACAAUUCUCUCCAAUCCCAGAAAUUAAGGAGUCUAUAACUUUAUCUUGAGCGUCUCUGAUAUUGCACAUGGGAUUUGAUCAUAAACUAAAAAAAAAAAAAAGUUAAGUCAAAUAGAGAGGGUGAAAACACAAUGCAAAGAAUAUGUAGGACUUCAGUAUUUUGCCUAGAAUCACUUAUCUCUAAUUAAAAAUGUAUACAAAUGAAGUAGCAUAUUAGUGCAUUACCUUUCUCAUAUAACAAGGCAUAGACAUGGCCAGGAUUAAAUUGGCAGCUAGGUUGCAUCAUCAGGAACUGAAAUGCUUUUAUCUUUCUAUUUGGCAUCAUCAACAAAUUAGCAUUUGCUCUCAGGCUUAGUCACUCUGCUCACACCAUGGCUGCAUUACUCUAGCUAUCAAGUUUUCACACAAAUAUGUCAACAUGUGAGAAAGAAAAUAUUUCCUUCUGCCUGUCUUUCUGAGAAAUCCCUGUGUGGUCUUCCUCUCAGGUCCCAUUGGCCUGGAUAAAGUUACAUGCUUAUUAUCCUGCUGUAAACUGAACUAUGUCCUUUCCAAAAUCCAUAUGUUGAAGCUCUAAACCACAUGACUAUGUCUGGAGAUAGGGCCUUUAGGGGGCAAUUGAGGUUAAAUGAGAUAAUAAGGGUGAGGCCUGACCUAAUUGGAUUGGUGGCCUUCUAAGACGAGAAAGAGAGGGAGAUCACUCUUUCUCUGUGAGCAUCCACCAAGGAAAGACCAUGUGAGCACACAGGGAAGGAGGCAACUUUUCGUGUACAGCUUACGAGGCAAGCCGUCACCAGACAUCAAUCCUGUUGGCAUCUUAAUAUUGGACUUCCACGAUCCAAAACUGUGAAAAAAUAAAUUUAUAUUGUUUAAGCUACCCAAUCUAUGGUAUUUUCUUAUAGCAACCUGUGUAGACUAAGAGAAAUCUUAACUUCACAAAAGGCUGAGGAAGCAUGAAAACUCUCUGGCAUUUUCAGCUUUUAUGUGGAAGUUGGUCUCUGUCAACAAACCAAAAGUAGAGUUUACGAACUAGCCAUAACUUAAAAAAAAGAGACAGAGAGAGACAACAGACUCAGAAAAUGCUUCAGAUUAAACAGUAUUGUGUGUGUGUGUGUGUGUGUGUGUGUGUGUGUAUUAAUCCUUAUUAUUCCAGAAGUCAAUUGGGAGGAUAGUGAACAUAUGCCUGAGAGGAGAAGGGUUGUAGCAGGCCUUGGAUGUCUUCAGCCUAGCUCCAAAAUAGGGAGCAUGAACUUGGUAUUUAAUAGAAAGAGAAAACCUUAUUUCACUAUUCUACAACCCAUUUUAAUUCUAGGGCUCUACAUUCCCCUUAAUGACCAGCCUGGUAUAAUUGGGAGGUGUGAACUCAGAAAUGCCUCUCAGAAGGAACCUUCUUGAUUCAACUUGAAGCUGUCAAUACCAUGUGACUCUGCCCAUGAACUUUCUACGAUUCAGACUGUUAGGUUCAGUGGUGUUUUAAGUUCCUGAUCCCUGUCCUGCAGUAUUAGACACAACAAAUAUCCAAAAUCCUAGAGAAUUUUCCUAUCGAUAAAAAAAUUCAAAAUAGUCUAAAACAAAUACAAUGAGGAAACAAAGGUUAUAACCAGGUGGUUCAUUUUAAAACAUAAGAAAACGUCAAGGAGAAGGUAGCAACAACAGUUAACUCAGAAGAAUCCAGGGCAUUAAAUUACUUGCCUCUUUCCUGAGGAGCCUGCAAUAUUCUUUAAGUUUUAUUUAAUAAAUGGUCAUGUUCAUUCUUAUUCUUCUCCUUUUUUCCCCAUUUAAAUCUAUGCUUGUCAUCCAUUACAGCUUGAUUGUCCCUCUAUGCUGAGGGCUGCAACACAAUCUUUGUAAUUUUCUCUACAUUCUACUCUGGCUGAGGAGUGGUGCUGGAUGGUGAACCCUACCUGGGCAGUUUCAAGACUUUUUAGUGCAAGAGAAAACACUGCUGCCAGGCUUGCACCAAUAUCCUAUCAGCGGUGCCAAUUCACUUUGGCUUUGAGGUUGAUUUGAACUGAGAGUCAUUUUCUUGCAUAUAUUAAAUAUUUUUAAAUGGAUGUAGGUCAGAGAACACUUUAUUGCUAGACAUUAGUAAUGGUUGGUAAGACAUUGAAAAAAAAUUUUCAUUAACCCAAAAGUUUAAGUUCUAAAAGCAAUUCUAGACAAGCGUACAAAAUCAUAUGCAAAAAGAUACUCAUUUCAAUGUUGCUCAUGAAACAUAAAAGUAUAAGCUAGUAUGCAUCAAAAAUAAAUUAUAUCUAUGCAAUGAAAUACCAGUGCAAAAAAAGGCAAUAUAUUCUAUUAAGUUGUACACAGAUAUUAAUGGUAAUUUGAGUGCUCAACAUGUGCAGAUAUUGUAAUAUUCCUAAUAAAAACUAAUACACAUGAAAACAUUGAGAAAUAGUAAAAUUACAUUACUUCCUUAAGGUCACGGAGCUUAAACUUGACUAAAAGAAAGUUUGAACCUAGUUCUAUGUAACUCCAGAUAGAGAUCUAUUAAUUCCUUCAUAAGACCACAAGAGCUGCUAGAUCUUCAAAAUAUUCCUCACUAAUGUAACAACUUUAACCAGUUUGCAGUUGAUCAAAGCUGUUUUUUUUAAGUAUCAUGAUUUUUACACUGUCAUAAUAUUAUUCACAGUUGGGACGAGAUAUUGGGGAAAUACGGUCCUGGGCAUAAAAAGGACCAAGAACCAAUAAAAUGUAAGCAAUUUGGAACCAUAAAUCUAGAUAGAAAAUAAAGGGAACAAUGCUGUUGGUUAAUGAAGUAUGCACAAAACACACAACAUAAUAUGAGGGUAGAGGAAAGAAGAUAGUUUUUAAGUGUGGUAGAAAGAGAAAUAUGCUUCUCCUUUGUGUACAAAGACAGGUGUUUCUCUUGAAGUCAGUGGCACUACAGACAUGGCCAAUGUACACAUUGGAUUUUCCAAGAAAGUUCCCAAUAUACGUAAGUUUAUUGUUUUCAAUUAGAGUAGCUCAAUGAAAAUUACAACUAAAUAUCUGUUUCUAAUGGUUGAAAAGUUUUCAAAUGCAGAUAAUUUUACAAUCAGAAAAAUAUUUUGUUAGAACAAUUAUUUUACUUUGAAUUUUGGAAAAUAUAGGAACUAUAAUCAGAAAAUUUUGGUUUAGCUACCUAUUUAUUAGGAUGAUAAAAGUAAUAUGGAUGACUUGGUUGUUUCUAGAUUAUCCAGCCUCUGCAGCUAAAUUUUCCCAGGGCUUUAUGAACAAGAAUAUCUACUAAUAAUAGCAAUAAUAGCAAUGAUGAUGAAGCUAAUUAAAAAAAAACCAGAACAAGAAAAUAUAUGAAUUGAAGCUUUCCUUUUUGCAAAGCUCUGUGAUAAGCACUUUUCAGGUAUUUUCUCAAGCAGAUAGUGCACAUAUAUCUUAGAGAAUGUAUACAUUUUUUGCCAUGUUACAAAACAGUAAUCUUAUUUGGAGAAACUACAUAACUUGCACUAAGUAACACAACUGUUAAAGGCUAAACAGAGACUCUUUCUCUCCAGUUCGUUUGAUUCCAUAUCCCUUGAUCCCCAUGCCUCUAGAAGAGUAAGACGUGCGUUAUAUAAAUAUAUAAUAGUAAACAUGAACAAAUCUAGAGGAAGGAAAGCCAGCCUUUACUUGUUACUCCAGAGUUGAGGGUCUCCUUUUGAAAGAAAACGUGCAGACACUGCUGACUUGUGAUCUUUUGACUGGGAUGCAGUAUGGGAAUAUGACUAGCACCUAAGUAAAAACUCUAUGCCCCUGGCCAGGCACAGUGGCUCACGACUGUAAUCCCAGCACUUUGGGAGGCCGAGGCAGGUGGAUCACAAAGUCACGAGUUUGAGACCAGCCUGAUCAACAUGGUGAAACCCGGUCUUGAAACCCGGUCUCUACUAAAAAUACAAAAAAUAGCUGAGUGUGGUGGCACUUGCCUGUAAUCCCAGCUACUCAGGAGGCUGAGGCAGGAGAAUUGCUUGAACCCAGGAGGCGGAGGUUGAAGUAAGCUGAGAUCACACCACGGUACUCCAGCCUGGGCGACAGAACAAGACUCCGUGUCAAACAAACAACAAACAAAAAACUCGGUGCCCCUUGCUGGCUUUAUGCCUUCAGCAAGAUGUACUCUGCACCAUACUUACCUCUUCAAUAAAAUAAAAAAGGGUAAUAAUUGCCUGUUUCUUAGGAGCAAAUGCAAUAUUAGGGGUAUAUAAUUUAAACAAUAGUUCAUAUGCAUAAUAAAAACUCAAUAAAUUAUUGAUAAUACUGUUCUUAUAUUGCAGCCUAUUGCAUGAUUAUAUUUUCUUCUUUAUCUGAACUUGAAUAAAAUAGUGCUUUACCUUACAACUUGAGGAAUGAUAAUCCUUGCAAGGGACAACUCAUCUUUCAUUACAUGAGCUUGAAAAAUCACAGCACCAGAUGCUCCACACUUACAGUGAGUCUCUACUAUAUACAAAACACUGGCCCUGGCAUUGGAGCCUCAUGAAUGAAAGACAAACAGCUUCCUUAACUUUAUGGACAUUUCAGUAUUCUGUGUGGUGUGGUAUGUUUCACAGCAGGAGGGAAUUGAAAGAAUGUGAGACACAAGACCUACUUUUGGGGCUUAGGUUUCAGAAGACAAAAUAAUCACCAAUGAAACAGAGAGUGUCCUGGUGCUAAGCCAUUAACUUUAAACACAACAUUCAGAGAAAAUUAGAAUGUAGGAGAAAACCUCUAGGAGGAAUCUCUAGAAGAGGAAAAUCUAAAGAAAUGUGAAAUGUAAUGAUACUCAGCCUAAAAAUAUUUUAAUGUUUAAAUUUAGUAUACACUUUUUUCAGACACACAAAAGUAUAUGAUGACCAUUAUAUGCUUGCCUCUCAGCUGAGUGUUAUCAAUACCAGUUGACGCUGCCUUUGAACACAUUUCUGCUGCAUCAUGUGAUUCUUACAGAUGUAUAAGUCUGGACAUCUAUGUAAUGUACUAGAAAUAAAACACUUUUAAUGAUGUCAUAAACAAGAUUACUUACUUGCAUGAUAUGCAUAAACAGAUAUGCUCUGCUGCUGCAACACAUCCCCAUGUAGGGUACACGUAUAGCUGAUUUGUGACCUCUGGUAUAGCUCUACAGUUUAGAACCAAGGGGAAUCUACCUGUAUUUUGCUAGUGUACUAGACACUUUCUCACAUAUUAGCUUAUUUAAUUCUCACAGGUAUUUUAUUUUUUCCAAUUUUCAGAUAAGAAAACUGUACCUCCUGUGAGAUGCUGUCCAGGGUCACAUGAGUAAGCAGAAGAGCUGGGUUUCUACUCAGUCCUUCUGACCACAAAUUUACUUCAGUGUCUCUGUCCCAGUCCUGAUGCUAUUCAGAGAUGUGAUAACAUUUAGGUUCCGUGAUAAUCCUACAUGGGUUUCAAAUACUGGUUUUAACAAAUGCUGUGUGUGUUACUUUGAGCAAGUUACUUGAACUCCUUAGGUUUAACUUUUCUAAUUUUCAAAGUAGAAGGAAUAAUGAAAACUAUGUAUUAAGAAUAUUCUAAAUAUUUCACGGAGCCACUUAUUAAAAGUAAUUAGCAUUAUCCCAGACACAUAGUAAAUGCUUAAUGAUAAUAGUUAUGAUUGAUAUUUCUUUUGUGAAGGUGAUUUUAAAGCUCUACAGCAAAAUGUACAAGGCUGACACUUGGAAUUUCUAUGUAAAUGAGUUGGCUUUGGGAGGCAAAUAUAGUGGAUGUUGGUUAUGACCAACUGUCAGAGAGCAUCUGCUGCCUGCAUGGAGCUGGGCUGUCCUUUUCUCUAUGAUUAAAUAGCCCAGAACCUUGAAAACUGAGGUCUCCUCCUUAUUCCACAAUGACUGCAUUAAAAUCCUUCUCUUUCCUCUAGGGACUAGUCAGUUCAGUCUUAUAACGACUUUCAAAAUGCUGGAGAAAGGUUUGGCUUCCUGGAAAAAAUUAUACUAAAGAGUAAACGCAUAGAAUUAAAAGAUAUCAUCUUCUUUGAUAAAUACAAAGUUAAAGCUGAAGGCUUCCUUUACUACCACUCCACUACCAUCCUGUAACCUAAUCCUCUGACAUAUUUCCCCUCCCACAAGAAGAGGAACACCGAAUCUGAACUAGAAACAAUCACUUUU